AUACUUAGUGGCAGACGGGUGAGUAACAUGUGGGUAUCUACCCUUUGGCCUGGAAUAACACGAGGAAACUUGUGCUAAUACCGGAUAAGUCUUUACGGAGAAAGCUUUAUGCACCAUUGGAUGAGCCCGCACUUGAUUAGUUUGUUGGUAGGGUAAUGGCCUACCAAGACUAUGAUCAAUAGCUGAUUUGAGAGGAUGAUCAGCCACAUUGGGACUGAGACACGGCCCAAACUCCUACGGGAGGCAGCAGUGGGGAAUCUUGCACAAUGGAGGAAACUCUGAUGCAGCGAUGCCGCGUGAGUGAAGAAGGCCUUUGGGUUGUAAAGCUCUUUCGUCGGGGAAGAAAAUGACUGUACCCGAAUAAGAAGGUCCGGCUAACUUCGUGCCAGCAGCCGCGGUAAUACGAAGGGACCUAGCGUAGUUCGGAAUUACUGGGCUUAAAGAGUUCGUAGGUGGUUGAAAAAGUUGGUGGUGAAAUCCCAGAGCUUAACUCUGGAACUGCCAUCAAAACUUUUCAGCUAGAGUAUGAUAGAGGAAAGCAGAAUUUCUAGUGUAGAGGUGAAAUUCGUAGAUAUUAGAAAGAAUACCAAUUGCGAAGGCAGCUUUCUGGAUCAUUACUGACACUGAG
rnacentral:rRNA from 1 species